ACGGAAGGCAGCAGUGGGGAAUAUUGCACAUGGGGGAAACCCUGAUGCAGCGACGCCGCGUGAGUGAAGAAGUAUUUCGGUAUGUAAAGCUCUAUCAGCAGGGAAGAAAAUGACGGCACCUGACUAAGAAGCCCCGGCUAACUACGUGCCAGCAGCCGCGGUAAUACGUAGGGGGCAAGCGUUGUCCGGAUUUACUAGGUGUAAAGGGCGUGUAGGCGGAGCUGCAAGUCAGAUGUGAAAUCCCGGGGCUCAACCCCGGAACUGCAUUUGAAACUGUAGCCCUUGAGUAUCGGAGAGGCAAGCGGAGUUCCUAGUGUAGCGGUGAAAUGCGUAGAUAUUAGGAGGAACACCAGUGGCGAAGGCGGCUUGCUGGACGACAACUGACGCUGAGGCGCGAAAGCGUGGGGAGCAAACAGGAUUAGAUACCCUGGUA
rnacentral:rRNA from 1 species